CCUACGGGUGGCUGCAGUGAGGAAUAUUGGUCAAUGGGCGCGAGCCUGAACCAGCCAAGUAGCGUGAAGGAAGACUGCCCUACGGUUUGUAAACUUCUUUUAUAAGGGAAUAAAGUGAGGCACGUGUGCCUUUUUGCAUGUACUUUAUGAAAAAGGAUCGGCUAACUCCGUGCCAGCAGCCGCGGUAAUACGGAGGAUCCGAGCGUUAUCCGGAUUUAUUGGGUUUAAAGGGAGCGUAGAUGGGUUGUUAAGUCAGUUGUGAAAGUUUGCGGCUCAACCGUAAAAUUGCAUUUGAUACUGGCAGUCUUGAGUACAGUUGAGGUAGGCGGAAUUCGUGGUGUAGCGGUGAAAUGCUUAGAUAUCACGAAGAACUCCGAUUGCGAAGGCAGCUUACUAAGCUGCCACUGACAUUGAUGCUCGAAAGUGUGGGUAUCAAACAGGAUUAGAUACCCUGGUAGUC
rnacentral:rRNA from 1 species